rnacentral:lncRNA from 1 species
UUCACUUCCACUUCCCGGUUCACCGCAGCCACGAGAACUCCGGGCGGGGGUGGUGGGGUGCCCAGUAAGCUGGAUGGUGCCGGGCGUUAUCCUUCUGGGAGACGCGCCCCAAAGAAGCCCCCGAAGGCUGCCAGGCUGGUUGUUUUCUCCACCGCUGAUUGAAUUUAGAUCCUGUUUGGUGGAGCAAAGACUCAUCUGAAGAAGGAAACAAGGUGUCAAGACUCCUCACUGAGAGUCAGCUCUUCCACCGUCUGCUCUCUGCUUCCCCUGUGGUGAACAUAUUUGCUGGACCAGAAAUCGAGACACAUGGUCUGGCCAUGAAAAAAUGAAAUUGAGACUGUUCCAGAAAAUCUAGGACAUAUGUUCUCCAGAGCUGUGGCAACAUGGGACUAUGUACACAGUAUAUGCCUAAUAAAUGCCUGCACUGAAAAUCACAGCAGCAUUCCAAAGGCAUUCUGAAUUUUCUUCAAAAAUCUUAUCCGCAGCUAGGUUUUCUCUAAAUCCUGAAUUCUUUUUUUUUUUUCUGCUUUAUCUUCCCAAACUCCCCGUACAUAGUUGUAUAUCUUAGUUGCAGGUCCUUCUAGUUGUGGGAUGUGGGUCGCCGCCUCAACGUGGCCUGACGAGCAGUGCCAUGUCCGUGCCCAGGAUCCGAACCCUGGGCCGCUGCAGCGGAG